CUUGGUCAUUUAGAGGAAGUAAAAGUCGUAACAAGGUUUCCGUAGGUGAACCUGCGGAAGGAUCAUUACCGAACCGUCGACAUGAGCUGUUGCUGGCCCUCGAAAGGGGGCACGUGCACGCUCUGUUUACACAUCCACUCACACCUGUGCACCCUCUGUAGUUCUGUGGCCUUGGGGACCUCGUCCCCUUGCCGUGGUCCUACGUCUUUACACACACACCGUAACAAAGUCUCAUGGAAUGUAUGCCGCGUUUAACGCAAUACAAUACAACUUUCAGCAACGGAUCUCUUGGCUCUCGCAUCGAUGAAGAACGCAGCGAAAUGCGAUAAGUAAUGUGAAUUGCAGAAUUCAGUGAAUCAUCGAAUCUUUGAACGCACCUUGCGCCCUUUGGCUAUUCUGAAGGGCAUGCCUGUUUGAGUAUCAUGAACACCUCAACUCUCAUGGUCCGCCAUGAUGAGCUUGGACUCUGGGGGUCUUGCCGGACCAGCGUCGGCUCCCCUAAAAUGGAUCAGCUUGCCAGUGUUUGGUGGCGUCACAGGUGUGAUAACUAUCUACGCAUGUGGUUCCCCGCCAUGUAACCUUCAGUGAUGGAGGUUCNCUGGAGCUCACAGAUGUCUCUCCUCGUGAGGACAGCUUUUUGAACGUUUGAUCUCAAAUCAGGUAGGACUACCCGCUGAACUUAAGCAUAUCAAUAAGCGGAGGAAAAGAAACUAACAAGGAUUCCCCUAGUAACUGCGAGUGAAGCGGGAAGAGCUCAAAUUUAAAAUCUGGCGUGCCUCUGGUCGUCCGAGUUGUAGUCUGGANAAGCGUUUUCCGUGCUGGACCGUGUACAAA
rnacentral:rRNA from 1 species